CCUACGGGAGGCAGCAGUGGGGAAUAUUGGGCAAUGGGCGCAAGCCUGACCCAGCAACGCCGCGUGAAGGAAGAAGGCUUUCGGGUUGUACACUUCUUUUCUCAGGGACGAAGCAAGUGACGGUACCUGAGGAAUAAGCCAAGGCUAACUACGUGCCAGCAGCCGCGGUAAUACGGAGGUGGCAAGCGUUAUCCGGAUUUACUGGGUGUAAAGGGCGGGACGGCUGGAAUGUAAGGCAGAUGUGAAGACCAGGGGCUCAACCUGUGGCCUGCAGUUGAAACGGUAGGUCUUGAGUACUGGAGAGGCAGACGGAAUGCGUAGUGUAGCGGUGAAAUGCGUAGAUAUUAGGAGGAACACC
rnacentral:rRNA from 1 species